rnacentral:lncRNA from 1 species
UGACACAUAGUUGCUUAUGCCUUGCAUUUUCCAAGAAAAAUAAAGAGAACGAAAAGAAAGUCACGAUGAAGAGUGAAAGUUUGCACCAAAUUCUUAGUUACAUGUGUUGGGUACCAUGAUGGUAGCUAUAAAUAGACCAUGUUGGGAUUAUACACUCAUUUCUCUUGAAAAAUGAUUGAAAAUCAUGUGAACAUGGUAUCUAAUGCAUUGUUAACUAGGAAAGGGUGGUUCUUCGGGCAUCUCAUGUCGAUCUCAUAAUUACAUUUGUCAUGCAUAGCAUAAAU